GGAUGGUGAGGGUGAUCUGGCUGCGACGUCUGUCACCCCAUUGAUCACCAGGGCUGAUUUGGCUAAUCUGGCUGGCCAGGUGUGUCCCCUUCCUCCCUUGCUGCUCCAUGUGCGUCCCUCCUGAAGCUACGUGCUUUCCCGGAAUAGGGGAGGACCAGCCAUUGGUCACAGCAAUACAAGCAGCUGAGCUCCCUGCUAGAACCUCCAAGCAAGGUCUCAAGACUCUGGAAUUGGGACUGCAGGAUAACUGAUUGGGUAAGUGCACUUAUUGCUCAAAAAUGCAGACCCAGGCUAGAGAGACAGCUUAGUGGUUAAGCGCUUGCCUA
rnacentral:snRNA from 1 species